rnacentral:rRNA from 1 species
UACGUAGGUGGCAAGCGUUGUCCGGAAUUACUGGGUGUAAAGCGCGUGUAGGCGGCAGGCCAAGUCUGCGGUGAAAGCGCCCGGCUCAACUGGGCGAGGUCCGUGGAAACUGGUCAGCUGGAGGACGGUAGAGGCGAGUGGAAUUCCCGGUGUAGUGGUGAAAUUCGUAGAUAUCGUGAGGAACACCGGUGGCGAAGGCGGCGAUCCUGGGAUCCGGCAUUCGACGCUGAGGCGC